AACGAACGCUGGCGGCAUGCCUAACACAUGCAAGUCGAACGACACCUUCGGGUCUGGUGUCGCGCGGGUGCGUGACCCGUGGGAAUCUGCCCUUGGGUUCGGCCUGACGGUUGGGAACGACUGCUAAUACCGGAUGUUGACCUACAUCCAAAGAUUUAUCGCCCAGGGAUGAGCCCGCGUAGGCUUAGCUAGUGGGUGGGGUAAGGGCCUACCAAGGCGAGGAUCCUUAGCUGGGCUGAGAGGAUGAUCAUACACACUGGUAGUGAGACACGGCCCAGAAUCUUAGGGGAGGGAGGAGUGGGGAAUAUUGGAAAGUGGGGGAAAGGAUGAUCCAGCAAUGCCGGGUGAGUGAUGAAGGCCUGAGGGUUGUAAAGCGCGCUUAUACGGGAGGAUAAUGACAGUACCGGGAGAAUAAGCACCGGCUAACUACGUG
rnacentral:rRNA from 1 species